rnacentral:rRNA from 1 species
GACGAACGCUGGCGGCGUGCUUAACACAUGCGAGUCGAACGGAAAGGCCCUGCUUUUGUGGGGUGCUCGAGUGGCGAACGGGUGAGUAACACGUGAGUAACCUGCCCUUGACUUUGGGAUAACUUCAGGAAACUGGGGCUAAUACCGGAUAGGAGCUCCUGCUGCAUGGUGGGGGUUGGAAAGUUUCGGCGGUUGGGGAUGGACUCGCGGCUUAUCAGCUUGUUGGUGGGGUAGUGGCUUACCAAGGCUUUGACGGGUAGCCGGCCUGAGAGGGUGACCGGCCACAUUGGGACUGAGAUACGGCCCAGACUCCUACGGGAGGCAGCAGUGGAGAAUAUUGCACAAUGGGCGGAAGCCUGAUGCAGCAACGCCGCGUGCGGGAUGACGGCCUUCGGGUUGUAAACCGCUUUCGCCUGUGACGAAGCGUGAGUGACGGUAAUGGGUAAAGAAGCACCGGCUAACUACGUG